rnacentral:rRNA from 1 species
GCAGCAGCCGCGGUAAUACAGAGGGUGCAAGCGUUAAUCGGAAUUACUGGGCGUAAAGCGCGCGUAGGUGGUUUGUUAAGUUGGAUGUGAAAUCCCCGGGCUCAACCUGGGAACUGCAUUCAAAACUGACUGACUAGAGUAUGGUAGAGGGUGGUGGAAUUUCCUGUGUAGCGGUGAAAUGCGUAGAUAUAGGAAGGAACACCAGUGGCGAAGGCGACCACCUGGACUAAUACUGACACUGAGGUGCGAAAGCGUGGGGAGCAAACCGGAUUAGAUACCCCGGUAGUCCCUGUCUCUUAUAA